GGGGGUCGGGGGGGUCGAAGUCGAGCCUCGCUGGCUCCGGCGCGGAACUGAGGGGACCGGGUCCUUCCCGCUGAAGCAUGGCAUAAGCCACGUUGGUCCCCUCAGCCUCCUUCGUGUCCUUUCCCUGGGGCAACACGGGGUGACGCGGGGCCAGACCGGCACCCCUUCUGGCCGGAGGGACCCUCCCCAUCCUCUAACGUCUGAGCAGCCUGUACCCUGCGUGCAAGGAACCAGUUUGGUUAUAAAAUCAAAGCAUGUGAUCAACAGCUCGUACAUUAUAUUGGUGUGGACCCAGAGAGCAAGCACAGACGAAGAGCAGACACUGACCUCACAGUUCUGACAGGUCUUCCUCAGUAGGAUCCACAGGAAGGGACUGACGCCAUGCUCCAAAAGCUUCUGCUUGAUGGCACUCUUGUGCCAGAAAUGCCAAUCACCCUCUGGAGCUGGGCCUCUCUCUCCACCCUUUGUGUAUCAAAAAAGGCCCAUGGUGGCCAAAGAACCUUCCAAACCCUCCAAACUAUGUUAGCUCCAGUGAAGUGUUGGGAGAAGAGCUGUGUCCUCCUUUGGGGUCUUCUUGGCAGUAAUAACAUACUGAAAAGGACAUUCAGAGGAGCCCUCCAUCUCUGGUUACAUGUCCACAGCACUCCAGGAUUUUCUGAGUCAUGUGGCCAGGCCCCUCUUUCCUGGGAACCAGGAUGUGAUGUAUUGUCAACUUUGUUAUUAUUGGUCAGGGUUAUGGCCAGAAGUACCUUGAUGAUUCACCUACUAGGGAUUGGUUGAAGACCCUUGCCACUUCAAACAAAUCCAGGUUCCAGCCAUGCACACAAAGUGUUGCUCCUGUAAUAAUGGAUCCUUUUGGAAUAUGAGUAAAGAUUGGUCCCUACAGAGCAUUCUUACUUAAGUGACUCCAUCUAGUUUUGGAACUUGUUUCUAGCUAGGUGACUGAAUGAGAGUGCUGAACAAACCCCAAACCAUCACAUGUCCCUUGUGCGAGGGCACUCAUCCCUCAUCAGUUCAGUUCAGUUGCUCAGUUGCGUCCAACUCUUUGCGACCCCAUGGACUGCAGCAUGCCAGACUUCGCUGUCCAUCAUCAACUCCUGGAGCUUGCUUAAACUCAUGUCCAUCACAUUGGUGAUGCCAUCCAACCAUCUCAUUCUCUGUCAUCCCCUUCUCCUCCUGCCUUCAAGCUUUCCCAGCAUCAAGGUCUUUUCCAGUGAGUCUGUUCUUCACAUCAGGUGGCCAAAGUAUUGGAGUUUCA
ensembl:lncRNA